UGAUGUUUUCUUCUCAUGCAUCCAGUUGGU
rnacentral:piRNA from 1 species